AUGCAUUUACCAAAAAGGGGAUAUUCUUGUAUUCAGUUUUCUCUACAAAGCUAUUGUUGAAUGUGUCAUCAGAGCAGGAGCGAUGGAAAGCUGUAAAAAUGGGCCCGCUUUAACAGAUCGUUUCUGUAAGGGCAUGGGCCUCCACCCUUCAAAAAAAAUUGAGAGCCUCUCCUGACUUUGAGCCUAAUUAAGUUACACGUACACGAGGCCUCUUGUAAGACAAUUUGUUAUAAAGCUACUGCUUAAACACUCGCCGAAAACUGAGCCAAGUUGAGACUAUCUGGAGCUGCAUUUCAGCAGCUGACCGGCCACGUGCCAUGUUGGGAAGCGUGAGGCUCUGCAGAUGUCCCAGCACCACCACACAUCCUCACCGUGGCUCGCCCAGGAGCCCAAGCAUCUCUAAAAAGGCAAUACGCCGACAAAACAUAUGUGUGGCAAGUUGGGGGGGGGGGGGGGGGGGGAACCCCAACAACUAGAUUCUCUGCCGCCUCCUUGUCUUCCUUAAAAAAGAAAGGUCUGUCUCCCAGCUGCGCCCUGGAUUCGCCCACCUCCCGCAGGCUGAGGAGCCCAACGUGACAACAUGGCACUCGGCAGUAAAAUUUGGAAAAGGGAAGGAUCAAAGUCAGGCUUAUUGACCCCAGGGGAAAAAAACCAGAAACCAGCAGUGAAAGGUAGUCUCUGCCCAAAGAGCAGCCCAAAGUCAGUCUGCAAACAGAUUAAAAUAACACAUUAAGGGGCCUGUAGAGCCAAGCCUUGGAGCAUAAAUCAUUAAGAUACAGGUAGGAAUGGUACGACCAGAGCAGUACUAUUUAUACUUGGUCCCCCAGGUCUGCACCAGGCAGACGUGGCUGGCACCUGGCAGACCGCACACGUGCUCUCAUCAGGAUCACAGCAGGCAAAGGAGACAUUUGGUUCUCCCGGUAACACUGCACCAGGCACCACACCGCCUGUGAACAACAGCCUUGAGAGGCGAGCACAACCAGCUUCUGUCUCCGUGAUCUGAGGACUAAACCUUCUCAAAAUCCAGGACGCAACCCUGGGCUGUAUGGCAGUACCAGUCCAGCACACGGCCACACCGAGCCCACUCCCACCCGUGCCAGGACGCAGAUGCCCACCAGGGUGCUGACAGGGGGCUCAGCCCCAGGGGGUCUCAAGGGCAGGACAGGGGUGUCAGGCUUGGACAGUCUUGGUGCUUCACACUCCUGGCUUGGUCCCUUACUGCACAUACCUGUGCGGUGAAUUAGGGCGCAGAAAAUGGCUCAGCCAGGUCUAUGCCUGCAAACUGCUUUUACCCCGCAGCCAAGCACAGAGGCGAGGGGGACAGAAAACACCCAGAGCUGCAGUGCCCACCCUCUGCACGGUGAAGCCCUGCCACCCCCCCCCAGAGCUUCCCGCAGACCAUGCAGCCUUGUCAGCAAGUUGUAACCAAGAACAGCCCUGCAGAGCCUGGCCAGCACUGAGGACCACUGCCCAGCGCUCCCAGAGAACGCCGUGGCUUGCAUACCACAAACCCCGAGCUGGAGGGUACGGGACUCAUUACUUAAAGACAAGGGUAUAGUAUGGUAUCUGAAUUCACCGGCAGGCUCCUCUGCUGUGCCUGAGUGCCAGUACCGUGAGCUCCACAAUCUGCAGGAGCAACGCUGGAAUUUCAGGGUUUCCUUUGGCUGUUUACCUGCUUAACUGAUUGGCAUCAGCAGAGUUAAACGCUCUGCAUUGGGAAGGGGUUUUACAGCCUGCAUGCUCCACGCUGGCUUUGGAGAGAGCGUUUCUCAUGGCUGGGUACAUCCCAUCUCCCCUCCGAGCUCUGUUUACCCACGAUAGCAGCCUGCUGCCCCGGCUGUGCAAACACCGGCCCCGGGAGCUGCUGGCACCCGCACAGUAUCGUGGCAACGUGGCUGAAGCCAGCUUUGCAAACUCACAAAGUGUGCAAAUUAAUUUCAUUAUCCGCUCUUGCACAUCAUGAGGAGGGAAAACAAAUAACCUGCCUGAAAGUACAUUCUAGUAAUUAUUAACACGGCGUAAGUUAACCCCAGGGGAGUGGGAGGAAGGACUGGCCGGAGAGGAGAGCCUGGCACUUGCCUGUUUGCUAGAGCACACAGCAUGUCAGUACUUUUUAAAUACAAAAUCCGGACUUACGAUGAAUUCUGUUCCCUGUUUAGUCCAAGGAUUCUUCAUUUACUUGGCUGAACCUACAUAUUCUCCCAAACAUUUACCAAAAAUGCUCCGGAGUCACCCACCCUUUGGCAGAGCUGUCAGGAUUGUACACGAAACCUUCUUUGGUGAUGACUAAAGCCCAGAAAUCCUUGUAGCUCCUGUAUCACCCUUGACAAAAUGGCUAUAGAUGAUAAUGAACCCACAGCUCUACCACAACUGAAAGUACUCCUGAACACUGCCGAGAAGACACCUCCCUGCCCGCUCCAGCCGCCUUCCCACAACAGGACACUUGGAAAAUACCUUCCAAGCUACCCAGUUUGGAGGAAUUGUUAAAUCGUGGAAAACUGGGGGGAUCUCAGGUUGGAGGAGAGCUUAGUAGACCAUUACAAACCUACAGCAGGGCUGUGGCAGAGCUCCAGCAAAUCUUACAGCAUUAUUAGUAAGCCAUUAAGAGGCGCUGUCAAGACAGAUAGGCAUUAAGAUUACUUUACAAGGCAGUUGUCAAGGAUUUCAGGAUGCACCCGUUGCUGCAGCAAGCAGCUCAGUUUUCACUUUAAAAACGACUCUUGUGUGAGCAUUUUUUUCUAAGGGAACUUGCAGUAAUAAGACGAGAUGUUUUUCAAGGUAGCUAACGCAGCCACAUUUUAAAACCCUGCCUGGCACCAGGACAAAGUGCCUGCACGCAUCAUGCACUGGGGUUUGAACUGAAUUAGUCAGAGCCUGGUCUGGACAGGGUUCCUGUACAAACCUGCUCCCACUGGAGCGUUCAGCCAGAGCAGACACAGCCCCGGGACAGAGCAGCCUGAUCCAGCAGCGCAGAUACAUGCCACAGUCUAAAGCCUGAGACGGGCUCUUCUGUACCCUGCCCCG